rnacentral:rRNA from 1 species
AUUGAACGCUAGCGGCAUGCCUUACACAUGCAAGUCGAACGGAGUGGCGAACGGGUGAGUAAUGUAUCGGAACGUGCCCAGUAGCGGGGGAUAACUACGCGAAAGCGUAGCUAAUAACGCAUACUUUUGAUGCGGUCGAUCCCGGUUUGGCUAGUGGGUGGGGUAACGGCGCACCAAGGCCACCAUCCGUAGCUGGUUUGAGAGGACGACCAGCCACACUGGGACUGAGACACGGCCCAGACUCCUACGGGAGGCAGCAGUGGGGAAUUUUGGACAAUGGGGGAAACCCUGAUCCAGCCAUCCCGCGUGUGCGAUGAAGGCCUUCGGGUUGUAAAGCACUUUUGGCAGGAAAGCGGUACCUGCAGAAUAAGCACCGGCUAACUACGUGCCAGCAGCCGCGGUAAUAC